rnacentral:misc_RNA from 1 species
GAAAUGCGAUAAGUAAUGUGAAUUGCAGAAUUCAGUGAAUCAUCGAAUCUUUGAACGCACAUUGCGCCCGCCAGCACUCUGGCGGGCAUGCCUGUUCGAGCGUCAUUUCAACCCUCAGAACCCCUUUCGGGAUCUGGCGUUGGGGAUUGGCAUCCAGCCAGCCCCGAAAUCUAGCGGCGGUCCCUCCGCGACCUCCCCUGUGCAGUAGCGAUACCUCGCAGCGGGACAGCGGUCUGACCACGCCGUAAAACCCCCAACUUCUCAAGGUUGACCUCGAAUCAGGUAGGAAUACCCGCUGAACUUAAGC